AGGGUUUGAUCCUGGCUCAGAACGAACGCUGGCGGCAGGCUUAAUACAUGCAAGUCGAGCGGUCUCUUUCGGGAGACAGCGGCGGACGGGUUAGUAACGCGUGGGAACGUGCCCUUUAGUACGGAAUAGCCAUUGGAAACGAUGAUUAAUACCGUAUACGCCCUAUGGGGGAAAGAUUUAUCGCUAAAGGAUCGGCCCGCGUUAGAUUAGGUUGUUGGUGGGGUAAUGGCCUACCAAGCCUACGAUCUAUAGCUGGUUUGAGAGGAUGAUCAGCAACACUGGGACUGAGACACGGCCCAGACUUCUACGGGAGGCAGCAGUGGGGAAUCUUGCACAAUGGAGGAAACUCUGAUGCAGCGAUGCCGCGUGAGUGAAGAAGGCCUUUGGGUUGUAAAGCUCUUUCGUCGGGGAAGAAAAUGACUGUACCCGAAUAAGAAGGUCCGGCUAACUUCGUGCCAGCAGCCGCGGUAAUACGAAGGGACCUAGCGUAGUUCGGAAUUACUGGGCUUAAAGAGUUCGUAGGUGGUUGAAAAAGUUGGUGGUGAAAUCCCAGAGCUUAACUCUGGAACUGCCAUCAAAACUUUUCAGCUAGAGUAUGAUAGAGGAAAGCAGAAUUUCUAGUGUAGAGGUGAAAUUCGUAGAUAUUAGAAAGAAUACCAAUUGCGAAGGCAGCUUUCUGGAUCAUUACUGACACUGAGGAACGAAAGCAUGGGUAGCGAAGAGGAUUAGAUACCCUCGUAGUCCAUGCCGUAAACGAUGUGUGUUAGACGUUGGAAAUUUAUUUUCAGUGUCGCAGCGAAAGCGAUAAACACACCGCCUGGGGAGUACGACCGCAAGGUUAAAACUCAAAUGAAUUGACGGGGACCCGCACAAGUAGUGGAGCAUGUGGUUUAAUUCGAAGAUACGCGCAGAACCUUACCAACACUUGACAUGUUCGUCGCGACUUUAAGAGAUUAAAGUUUUCGGUUCGGCCGGACGAAACACAGGUGCUGCAUGGCUGUCGUCAGCUCGUGUCGUGAGAUGUUGGGUUAAGUCCCGCAACGAGCGCAACCCUCACUUUUAGUUGCCAUCAUUAAGUUGGGCACUCUGAAAGAACUGCCAGUGAUAAGCUGGAGGAAGGUGGGGAUGACGUCAAGUCCUCAUGGCCCUUACGUGUUGGGCUACACACGUGCUACAAUGGUAUCUACAACAGGAAGCAAGACUGCGAGGUCAAGCAAAUCCUUAAAAGAUACCUCAGUUCGGAUUGCACUCUGCAACUCGAGUGCAUGAAGCUGGAAUUACUAGUAAUCGUGGAUCAGCGUGCCACGGUGAAUGCGUUCCCGGGUCUUGUACACACCGCCCGUCACACCAUGGGAGUUGGUUCUACCUUAAGGCAAGGUUUAAAACCCUUGACCACGGUAUAGUCAGCGACUGGGGUGAAGUCGUAACAAGGUAGCCGUA
rnacentral:rRNA from 1 species